rnacentral:lncRNA from 1 species
AUGGUAACUAUGGAACUGGAAACCACUUCUACCACUAAUCAUCCAUCUGCUGAAGAGGCAAUAACAGGAUUUAAUCAUGAGGUUGUUAACCAAGAGCACUUUGUUAAAUAUCCUCUAUGGAACAAGGAAGCACUCCUUUUUAAAAAAUAAGACUUGACAAGCAAACCUUCCAUUGCUCUCUACAAUUGAUACUAUUGAAGACUUUUUUUUUCUCUCUACCACUAUAUCCAAUUGUUGAAUAAUUUAAUGCCUUUCUGUGACUACUCACUUUUUUAGGACUGUAUUGAGCCUAUUGAGCCUAUGUGGAAAGAUGAAAGAAACAAAUGAGGAGAAUGAUGGUUAAUUACAUUGAACAAACAGCAAAAAUGAAAUGACCUUGAUUACUUUUUGCUGGAGAUACUGCUGUGCCUUUUAGGAGAAUCUUUUGAUGAGUACAUGAUGAUGUAUAUGGGGCUAUUGUUAAUAUGGGAGAUAAGGGUGAUAAGAUAGUUAUAUGGACUACUGAAUGUGAUAACAGCAAUGCGAUAACACCCAUUGACAGGGUAUAAAAGGAAAGACCAGGACUUCCUCUGAAGGUAGUGAUUGGUUAUCAGUCCCACACAGACACAACUAUGAAGAGUGGAUCCACCACUAAAAAUCAGUUUGUUGUUUAA